rnacentral:misc_RNA from 1 species
GAUGAAGAACGUAGCGAAAUGCGAUAAGUAAUGUGAAUUGCAGAAUUCAGUGAAUCAUCGAAUCUUUGAACGCACAUUGCGCCCACCAGUAUUCUGGUGGGCAUGCCUGUUCGAGCGUCAUUUCAACCCUUAAGCCCUGGUUGCUUAGCGUUGGGAGCCUACCGGACCCCGUCCCGUAGCUCCCCAAAGUCAGUGGCGGAGCCGGUUUAACACUCCAGACGUAGUAGCUUUUACACAUCGCCUGUAGCCUAAGCCCGGCGCCCUGCCGUAAAACACCCCCCAAUGUAUAGGUUGACCUCGGAUCAGGUAGGAAUACCCGCUGAACUUAAGCAUAUUCAAUAAGCGGAGGA